GAUUAAUUCCAUCUCUUCACACUCAAUCUCCGUCUGCCAUCCACCGUGCUUCAAGUCGGGCUCCUUCGAAAAUGUCAUCCAUCGUCGCUUCUCUAUACGAAAACUCCAUCCUUCUUUAUUUAGAGAUUAGAAAUUAAUUCUCAUUCACGUAUGAAGAUAUCUUGAUUUGUGAUUUGAACCUUUUGUAUUUGUAUAGAAGCGACGUAUUGCUCAUGGUGCUUUGGGUUUUUUGGGUUAGAAAUUUGAACCUCACGCAUGAAGAGGUUAGAAAUUAAUUCCUCUUCCCUCUUCACGUAUAAAGUUGGGGAAAGUCCAUAUAUCACAUGGUGCUUUGGGUUCUCCUUACAAAUCCAAUGGAGUUGAUGAUUGAUAUGAGAAGAUACAGAUUGAUAGAAGGAGAUAUGGCUUAUACGGGACCGUAUUUUCCCUACUGUCACACAGUAGAUGACCGUGAGGGAUACUCUAAACUCUGCACUUGAUGAAGAAAUGUCUGUUGAUCAAAAAAAAAAAAAAUUUAUGAGAGAAGAGGUCGGAGAAUAUCAGGAGACUUAUAAGGUUAGAUAACCAAAAGGAUUUUGGAGAAAUAUGGUUCUGAGAGGGUUCUUGAUACCCCAAUCACAGAGGAGGUAAAAUGCAGAACAUUUGUUAACCAAGUCACUUAUUUCGGACUAAAAAAAAGGCUGCGAGAACCGGUGACUUAGAGCUUUUUCGUCGCGACUUGGAGCUUUCUCAAACUGUUAUUGGGAAGUUUUUGGAUAGUUUUUAGAUAAGUUAGUUAAUUUAGGAAGUUGAGUUGAACUAGGAUGUUGAGUUGAACUUAUGACAAUCUAAUGAGAUUGUUUAUAUUAUUUUUGCAACUGA